AUGACCAUUAUAGCAUAAAUGAGCCACGGUAGGAGGAAGUUGCGGCGUUUCUUCACGGCUCCCCAAACUAAUAGUCCAGCCAAUAUUCCACCAAGAAUUUCUCCCGGGACAUGUCUAGUUCCGAAGGCCCUGGGAAAAUCAAUGAUCUUCUCCAUGACAAAUGUUGCUAUUUCAUCAACAUAGAUCAAGGACAAAAUCAGAUAAAUGAUGACUGUGAUGGCCCCAGUCUGGAAAACAUCAAAAGAAGGGUAACUGUUCCCCCUCGCAGAGGAAAACAACAACAGCAUCUCCUAAGAAUAGCCAUAUCUAACAAAGAAGAAAAAAAAACAACGUUUAAUUGUACAUUUUAGGCGCAUUCAUUGUACGGUGAGGUAGUAGUUUAUUUAUAGAAUUUCAAUAUAGGCAUGAAAACAGGGAGUGCACAGCAGCGACUGAAUACUUAAUUAAGGGUCUUUCACUAGGAAAAAGCUACUGAAAAAGUUAAGUAUCCUUAAAUGAUACCUGAUUUUGAAAAAAGAUUAAAAUUAAUAUUAAAAUUAUAUUAUUAUUAAAGAAAAAAGAAAAAUUUUGAUUCCCCUACUGAAACCCAAUUUCAUACCUUUUUUUAUCGAUUUUAAGCAUUGAAAAAAUUGUUUAAGUAUGACAAAAUGCUUUGUAAGUAUUUAAAAUAUUAAAGUAUCCUGCGUAGCAUACUGAAUUACUGAUGUAUAUAUGCUUAUAAGGAUUAACUAACAAUCUUUAAAUUAGGAUUAAUUAAUAUUUUAAAAUGAUAUUAUACAAUAAUAUUAGGACUUUGGCUAUUAAUACUUAUUAUUACAAUAAUUUGGCAAACUGAUGUCACCUUGGUUUAACAACUGGCAAAUCUUUGAAAGUGCCCAAUCGGUCAGGUUUUGAUUUCAAGUCAACAUAUACAAUCAGUCAUUUUAAUCAUAUGAAAUGCAUCGACUGCACUGUUAAAUAAUGGUCUCUAUUGUUAGGUAGACUAGGUCUAAUAUGCAAUGAAAAUUUUACAAAAACCCUAUAUUUGGUAACAUCACCUUUUCACAAGUAUCGGUGACUAAAACUUCUUCGUUCUCAAAACCAUGUGUUAAUCUUAAGGAACCAAACUUAAAUUUAGCAAUAAGGCUAACUAUUUUUUGGCAAACACAAGCCCAUCUCAUGACAGGUUGCCUGAACUAAGUUACUAGUUAUAACUACAAAUCAGUUAUUUAAUCUAAGGGAUUUUUGGGUUUUUGAACCACGCUUAAAAUUUUUUUAUGUUAAUUUUCUUUAAUUUCUGAAAUAUAUGUCACUUAAAUUUUAUGAAAUACAUUUUGUAUGAUCAUUA